rnacentral:tRNA from 1 species
GCGCCUGUAGCUCAGUGGAUAGAGCAGCUCCCUUCUAAGGAGAAGACCGGGGGUUCGAUUCCCUUCAGGCGCG